GACGAACGCUGGCGGCGUGCCUAAUACAUGCAAGUCGAGCGGACGAAUCGAAAGCUUGCUUUUGAUUCGUUAGCGGCGGACGGGUGAGUAACACGUGGGCAACCUGCCCUGUAGACGGGGAUAACACCGAGAAAUCGGUGCUAAUACCGGAUAACACGAAAUGUCGCAUGACGUUUCGUUGAAAGACGGCGCAAGCUGUCGCUACAGGAUGGGCCCGCGGCGCAUUAGCUAGUUGGUGAGGUAACGGCUCACCAAGGCGACGAUGCGUAGCCGACCUGAGAGGGUGAUCGGCCACACUGGGACUGAGACACGGCCCAGACUCCUACGGGAGGCAGCAGUAAGGAAUCUUCCGCAAUGGACGAAAGUCUGACGGAGCAACGCCGCGUGAGCGAAGAAGGCCUUCGGGUCGUAAAGCUCUGUUGUUAGGGAAGAACAAGUAACGCAGUAACAGGCGUUACCGUGACGGUACCUAACGAGAAAGCCACGGCUAACUACGUG
rnacentral:rRNA from 1 species